UACGUAGGGUGCAAGCGUUUGUCCGGAUUUAUUGGGCGUAAAGAGCUCGUAGGCGGUUUGUCGCGUCGGAUGUGAAAUCCCAGGGCUCAACCCUGGGCCUGCAUUCGAUACGGGCAGACUAGAGUAUGGCAGGGGAGACUGGAAUUCCUGGUGUAGCGGUGAAAUGCGCAGAUAUCAGGAGGAACACCGGUGGCGAAGGCGGGUCUCUGGGCCAAAACUGACGCUGAGGAGCGAAAGCGUGGGGAGCGAACAGG
rnacentral:rRNA from 1 species